GCGAGAAAACUUUGCAAUGUGCGAAAGCACGACAAGGUUAAUCCGAGUGAUUUCUGCUAAAGGAAUCUUUUGCCAGUUCUAAAAAUACUAGUGAAUAAGGGGUGGGCAAGUUCUGGUGUCAGCCGCCGCGGUAAAACCAGCACCUCAAGUGGUCAGGAGGAUUAUUGGGCCUAAAGCAUCCGUAGCCUGCUCUGUAAGUUUUCGGUUAAAUCUAUAUGCUCAACGUAUAGGCCGCCGAAAAUACUGCAGUGCUAGGAAGUGGGAGAGGUAGACGGUACUUGGUAGGAAGGGGUAAAAUCCUUUGAUCUAUCGAUGACCACCUGUGGCGAAGGCGGUCUACCAGAACACGUUCGACGGUGAGGGAUGAAAGCUGGGGGAGCAAACCGG
rnacentral:rRNA from 1 species